ACCCUACGGGAGGCAGCAGUGAGGAAUAUUGGUCAAUGGGCUUACGCCUGAACCAGCCAAGUAGCGUGAAGGAUGACUGCCCUAUGGGUUGUAAACUUCUUUUAUAAAGGAAUAAAACGAGGCACGUGUGCCUUUUUGCAUGUACUUUAUGAAUAAGGAUCGGCUAACUCCGUGCCAGCAGCCGCGGUAAUACGGAGGAUCCGAGCGUUAUCCGGAUUUAUUGGGUUUAAAGGGAGCGUAGAUGGGUUGUUAAGUCAGUUGUGAAAGUUUGCGGCUCAACCGUAAAAUUGAAAUUGAUACUGGCG
rnacentral:rRNA from 1 species